rnacentral:rRNA from 1 species
UACGUAGGUGGCAAGCGUUGUCCGGAUUUACUGGGUGUAAAGGGCGUGUAGGCGGAGCUGCAAGUCAGAUGUGGAAUCCCGGGGCUCAACCCCGGAACUGCAUUUGAAACUGUAGCCCUUGAGUAUCGGAGAGGCAGGCGGAAUUCCUAGUGUAGCGGUGAAAUGCGUAGAUAUUAGGAGGAACACCAGUGGCGAAGGCGGCCUGCUGGACGACAACUGACGCUGAGGCGCGAAAGCGUGGGGAGCAAACAGG